CCCCAGGACGCGGGGGAGGGGCUGGAUACGCAGGUAUUUUUAUUAAACAGAUUAUUCCUGAAAUAAUAAUACGCGCAAGAUGGCUGAAGGUGGCUGUGAUGAGAGUGUUGGGGUUGGGAUUUUUUUCUUCCUGUUUUUUCUUUUUUGAUCUGAGGAUAAAGCUCUGAGGCGACAGCGGCUGCGGAGACCCUGCCCGAAGCGCCCUCCCCUCCCUUGAGAAGCCGCGGGCAGACAGACGGACCUCGGACCGAGCAACGGGUGCGGGCCCGCCCCGGACGCGUCGCCUGGGCAGCAGCCGGGGACCGCGGGCUCUCGCCUUUCUGCCGACUUCUUCCAAUUCUCAUCUUCUUUUAUUUUUUGGACAGGACCGGGGUGGGUGGAGCAGAGGUGGAGAGAAAUCGGGACUUGGCAUUUUCUCCCUCUCUCUCUCCUAAUUUGUUGGAGGCCGCCAGCCCUCCCCUUGGAAAAAAAAAAAUCCCACCAAAAAAAAAAAAAAAAGAAUCAGGAGCGAGAGGACGCCGCGGGGCCCUCAGCGAGCGCGCCCAGACCCCGGCCGCCGCCGCGGAGCCCAAGAUGGCUGGGCGCUGAGGGUGGCGGCUCGGCCUGGCCCCGCCGCCGCAGGCUGGCUCCGACCGCAGCCCCGAGCCUUCCAGGCCCCAGCAGAGGGGAGGGGAGGGCCGGGAGCCGAGCCUCCUGUUCAUUAGCAGUUGAGAAAAAUUCCUUUCUAGUUUGAUCAAUCCUUGUUUUCCUCGGCAGAGCCCGGGCGCCCGCCCAGCGCGGAGACGGGCGCGCGGGGUCUCUCCGCGGCGGGGGCGCCGGGCCUCGGGGGAGCGCAGAAGUAGCCGCCCGGGGGUCAGGCCGGAGCGCCGCCGGGGCUUCUCCCUCCCUCCCUCGCCGGUUGCCUUUUUUUCCACUUCUCUCCCUCCCCCUUCCGUUUCUAUUUGUGAAGGGAGGAGGAAGGCAGAGGCGGGCUGGUGUCUCUGGCCGGGGACUGGAAUUUCAUCUGAAUGACUGCCCCUGCGCGCACGCAGCGCCCCGGAGUCGGCCCGCCCGCGCCCCGCAGCCCGCGCCCGGCCAGCCAGCCGGGGGACGCCUGCACCGUGGCCCGGGGACCGCCGGCCUGCCCCUCCCGCCCCGUCCGGAUCUAGCAGCCCUCGGCGCGGCCGCCCUCGCCUCCUGGCCCCGCAGACCCCGGGCUCCGGCCCCUGCGAGGGAGGUGCGGCGCCGACGAGCCAGGCAGGAGCCGCCGCUGCCGCCGCCGCCGGAAGAAGUGUGCUGCUCCCAAGCUCCGUCUGCCGCGGGGCGCGCCCCAAUGUCAGCCGCGGGGACGAGCGCAGGCCGCGGGCCGCCACUGCCCUAGCCGCGCCGACGGGGAGGCGGCCUCUUAUAUGGAAUUUGGACCCCGGCGCUCCCCUCCAAGGCUGGAGUCCCGGCCGCGGCCCUGGCGCAGUCCGCCGCCUCCCGCUAGGCGCUCGGGAGGAGGAGGAGACGCAGCCCGCUGCGCGCGCGGCGUGAGGACCGCGGCUCCCUCCUCCGGGGGGCGGGCACGCGGAAGG
rnacentral:lncRNA from 1 species